rnacentral:misc_RNA from 1 species
UGCUGCUUGAGUGCCUUCUCUAAAGCCACUCUUGAACCUGUGAGGUACCUGGCUCAGGUACCUCAUUAUUUCGGUUCCAGUUGUCUUUCUUUUAAUGGCCUUCACACUCCAGUUAAUUCUGACAUAGGCCACUAGAAGUGUGCAAUCAGUCGUAAAUCAAAUCAAACCGGGGCCGAAAAACUACAUCAUAUAAAAUGCUAAUCAAACCGAUUUGAGAGAAGGAAUCGAAUCAAACCAAACCAAACCAAAAACAGUUCGGUUAAAACCGUCCAUUUUGUAUUAUCCCAAACCCUUCUAUUCUCAAACAGUAUCAUUUCCAUGCCUGAACACCGUCUUCCCCAGUCUCGGCUUACAGAGCAAACCCCAAUCCUUAGCUAAAAACUUCCCCAAAUCAUUAACGACAACAAAUCCGCAGCAAAAAAAUUCCCCAAAUCACCCAUGACAACAAAUAUACAAAUAUGCAAAUCCAUUUUCUCCAAAAAAAAAAAAAACAAAAGAACAACAGCAGCAGCAAUUGGUACCAGAA